GGGGAGGGAAGGCGGCCGCCGCCAUCAUGCGUGCGCCGCCGGGGCUGGUGCGGCUGCUGGCGGCGGCGCGGGGGUGGGGGCGGCCGCCGCGGCGCUGCCUCGGCGCCAUGGCCGGCUACGGCACGGAGCAGCGGGGGCGGCCUAACGCCCCCGAUUACCGCCUCUACUUUAAGAAUGCAGAUGGUAAAUAUAUUUCCCCGUUUCAUGACAUUCCACUGUUUGCUCCAUCUAAAGAGGAUAAAGAGAUUCCUGCAAAGAGGUCAAAGACUACUGGAACUGAGGUCCUGUUUAAUAUGAUUGUAGAAGUGCCUCGUUGGACAAAUGCUAAAAUGGAGAUUGCCACUGAGGAGCCGUUGAAUCCCAUUAAACAAGAUAUAAAGAAAGGCAAGCUUCGAUAUGUGGCAAAUAUCUUUCCUCACAAGGGUUAUAUAUGGAAUUAUGGUGCCCUCCCACAGACCUGGGAAGAUCCAAACCAUACAGAUAACAUUACAGGAUGUUGUGGGGAUAAUGAUCCUAUUGAUGUUUGUGAAAUAGGUUCAAAGAUUCGUUCUUCUGGUGAGAUUGUUCAGGUGAAGGUCUUGGGUGUUUUAGCUCUUGUUGAUGAAGGAGAGACGGAUUGGAAGAUAAUUGCUAUCGGUGUGGAUGACCCAGAAGCUCAGAAAAUCCAUGAUAUUGAUGAUGUCAGGAGGCACAAACCAGGUUACCUUGAGGCUACAGUUGACUGGUUCCGAUUCUAUAAAGUCCCUGAUGGUAAACCGGAAAAUCAUUUCGCUUUUAAUGGAGAAUUUAAAGACAAGGAUUUUGCUGUUGAAAUUAUUAAAUCCACCCAUGAAUACUGGAAAGCUUUGCUUCAUAAAAAAGCUGAUGGAGGCACUAUUAAGUGGUACAUAUUUCUGAGCUCUGUAUGUGAAGCACAAAUGUUCUGGUGAGUGGCAGCCCAUUUUGUUGCAGUGAGGAGGAUGCCCGAUUGAUUGUGCAGUCGGCACCAGUGCCUGUGAAUGGAGAUUCUGUUUCCCCAGAAGUUGAUUCCUGGCACUUUUUUCCCAAGUGAUCGUCAAAGUGUUUUGAAGCUGCAUCAUCAAAUCUUAAAGCCAUCCCUUUUUUGAAGACAGGCAAAAGCACUAAUUGUUGGGUUCCUGUUGAAACAACUUUUCAACUUGUGUAAACCUUCUGUCAUGUAAAUAAACACUGACAUCACAAAAUGAA